UAGGAUUACUAUAUGUAUACGUCAAUGUCGACAAUCGCGAUUAUUUUUAAGUUUUAAAGCGCAAACUGACGGAUUUCUACCUUGUAACCAUCAGAAAUAUUAUUAUUGGCAUAGAUUAAAUUAAAUCUAUAGCCUAGUAAGCAGAUGAGCAGUGACUGAUACACAGAUAUCAACAUGAAGCUUGCGAACCUUGUGACAGUGUUUCUAGUACUGGCAAUGGCUGUCGCUUUACCCGAUUAUCUACAAGG